AAAAGAGGUGAGAAAGGGCCAGAUUACAUAGAGCCUGGAAGGUAACAGUACAGAUUUGAAUUUCAUUCUGAGUGUGAUUAAAGAAAAAAACCCAUGGGAGGUUUAAAGUAAGGGAGUGAUGUAACCUAAUUUACACUUGUAAAAGGUCUCUCUGGCUACUGUGUGAAGAAUGGACUGUAGGAGAGCAAAAGUGGAGGCAGAGAGACCUGUUGGGAAGUCAUUUCAAUUGUCCUGACCAGAGGUAAUAAUGGCUCAGAUUAGGUGAUGAAUUGGAGGAAGUAAAAAGUAGUUGUGUUUGGAGUCAUAUUUGAAAGAAGACUGGAUAGGCCUUACUACCGAUGAACUGGUUCUAGGAGUGAGAAAAGAGGAAUGAUGGUGCCUGAUUUGGGGGCCUGAGCAACUGGGCAAAUGGUGGCAUCAUUUACUGAGGUGAGGAAGAUUGAGGGAGGAAAGGAUUUGGGAAGAAAAUCAAGCGUUCUGCUUUGACUAAGUAAACUUUAAGAAUCGUAUUAGAUAUGCAGGUAGAGGUUUCAAGGGAGCAGUUAGUUGUCCAAAUUGAACUUGGAGAGAGUUAUGGACUAGAGAGAUAAACAUGGGAGUCAUUAAUACAUAGGCCAUAAUUAGUCACUGAACUGGGUGAAAUCACUUGUGCCUUGCAGAGAAUGUGAGACCAACUCAGGUAGGAAUGGAGAAACUGAACAAAGAAAAGAAGAGUAGAAGUUUCUGACAAGUUACUGGCAGCAGAGGAUAGAAAGUUGACUGGAGAUCUAGUGAGGAGGCCACUCACUAGAGGCAACGGUCCCAGCAGCAGAAGAGAAGCAGAUAUGGCAUUAAAAAGCUAUUUGCAGAAUGAAAGGCAGGAGAUUGGGCACUGGGACCGCGCUAGGGAAAGAAAAUUGUCAAGGAGAAAUAUCCAAGUUCUUAUUCUGGAAAAAGGCGUGGAUAGUGGCGCCACCAAGUGAGAGAGAGGCAUAAGAAGAUGAGCCAAGUGGAAUAAGAAUAAAAAUAAUAUAUUUGUUAUUCUGAAUUUGAAGCUCUAGGAAACAUUUAAAUCUUGCCUCUGUCACUCCAAGCUAUGUGACUUUGGGCAAGUUACUUAUCCUUUCUGUACCUUAGUUUCCUUAUCUGUAAUAACUGCCCUUGUCUCAGAGAUACUGUGAAGAUAUGUGGUAAUACCUGUAAAGCACACUGAACAGUAAGUAUUUAAUAAAUGCUAAUUACAAUUAUUAUUGCAAUGGAACGUCAUUAUGAGAAAGUCUGGGAUUUUGAGGGAUGCCAGGUCUAGUAUGCCUGGAAUGCAAAGUGCUGUGGGGAGAUAGAUGAUGAUGGAUAGUGGAAGAUAAGACAAGUCAAAUAGUGAAGAGCCACUAGGCUAAGGAAUUUUGGCUUCUUCUUCAAGGAGGAUCCAGAGUGAGGGUUGUUUUUGUUUUGUUUUGUUUUGUUUUGUUUUGUUUUGUUUUGAGACAGAGUCUUGCUCUGUCACUCACGCUGGAGUGCAGAGGAGCCAUCUCCACUCACUGCAAUCUUCACUUCCUGUGCUCAAGUGAUUCUCGUGCCUCAGCGUUUCGAAGAGUAGCUGGGAUUACAGGCAUGCGCCACCACACCUUUUGCCAUUACUUUUAAUGGCAAAAACAGCAGUAACUUUUGCACCAACGUAAUAGAUUUUUAUGGAGACUUCAUUAUGUAGGCAUGGUUGAUUAAACUAUUAGCCAUUGGCAAUCAACUUGACCUUAAGCCCCUCUCCCCUCCCUGGAGGUUAGAGGAAAGUCCCAACCUUCUAUUCAUGCUUUGUCUUUCUGGUGACCAGUCCCACACUGAAGUUAUUAGUCAAUCAUUAGCAUACAAAAAGACAGCACUUUGGAGCUCCCAAGGAUUUUAGGAGUGGUAUGCCAGGAAAUAAGAGGAAGACCAAAUAUAUAUAUUUCACAAUAUCGCAGUAGUCCAUUCAUUUUUAUUGUUGAGUAAUACCCCAUUUAUGAAUAUACAAUUGUUUUGUUCAUUCUCCUGUUGAUGAAAGUCUGGCUAGCUUCCAGAUUGGUGCUAUUGCAAAUAGUAUUGCUAUGUCUUUUGGUGGACAUAAGCACUCAUUGCUCUUGGAUAUAUACCCAGCAUCUCUACCCAUUAUUUUUUAAAUUAAUUUUUUUGAGGUCUUUGUAGAUUCACAUACAGUUGUAAGAAAUUAUACAGAGAGAUCCCAUGUACAAUUUACUCAUGUUCUCCCAGUGGUAUCAUCUUGUAAAUUAGCCUUCAAUAUCACAACCAAGAUUUUAACAUUGAUAUAGUCAAGACACUAGGUAUCACAAGGACCCCUCCUGUUGCUCUCUCAUAGCCAUAUCCAUUUCUCACAUGCUCUCCAUCCCCUGCCUUGUUCUUUAACUGCAGGCAACCACUAAUUUGUUCCCUUCUCCAUUUCUAUAAUAUUGUCAUUUCAAGAAUAAGGAAUUUCAAGAAAUAGGGAAAUGGAGAAUAAUGCUAGAGUGGCUUAAAACAGAACAAAUUCUGGAGGUCAGAUUGUCAGAGAUGCUUGAGCCAGAGCUACUUCAUCUAGAAUAGGGGCUGGGUAAAAAAAAAGGCUGAGACAUACUGGGCUGCAUUCCCAGGAGGUUAGGCAUUUUUAGUCACAGGAUGAGAUAGGAGGUCAGCAGAAGAUACAGGUCACAAAGACUCUGCUGAUAAAACAGGAUGCAGUAAAGAAGCCAGCAAAAAUCCACCAAAACCAAAAUGGCAAUGAAAGUAACCUCUAGCAGUCCUCACUGCUUAUUAUACACUAAUUAUAAUUCAUUAGCAUGCUAAAAGACACUCCUACUAGCACUAUGACAGUUUACAAAUGCCAUGGCAACGUUUGGAAGUCACUCUAUAUAGUCUAAAAAGGGGAGAGACCCUCAGUUCUGGGGAAAUAUCUCCCCUUUCCUAGAAAACUCAUGAAUAAUGUUUAGCAUAUAAUCAAGAAAUAACUACAAGUAUACUCAAUCAAGCAGCCCAUACUGCUGUUCUGCCUAUGGAGUAACCAUAAUUUUACUUUCUUGAUAAACUUGCUUUCACUUUACUCUAUGGACUCACCUCAAUUCUUUUUUGUGAGAGGUCCAAGAACCCUCUCCUGGGGUCUGGAUCGAACCCCUUUCCAGUAACAAGAUGAAAGUCCAAAAUGGGCUAAAACUGAGCUAAAACUAAGGUGUCCACAAAGCUGCAUUUCUUCUGGAGGCUCUAGGGGAGAAUCCAUUUCCUUGACUCUCCCAUUUUAUAGAAGCCACCUGCAUUCAUUGUUUCAUGGCCCCUUCCUCCAUCUUUAAUAUCGGCAACAUAGCAUAUUCAAAUCUCUCUGAAUCUGACCCUCUUCCAUCUUUAAUGACUCUUGUGAUUAUAUUGGGCCCACCUGGAUAAUACAGCACCCUUUCCCUAUCUUAAAACCCUUAACCCAAUGACAUCCCAAGUCCCUUUUGCAACGUAAGGUAACAUAUUUAUAGGUCCCAUGGAUUAGAACAUGGAUGUCUUUAGAGGGCCAUUAUCUUGCGUGCCACAUCCAUCUUCCUGGGAGAAGUCUACCUGUUUUCCAUUUAAAAUAAAUAAAUAAAUAAAUCAUUUACACACAUACAACCCAAUAUCCAAAAACAGAGAUCCUCUGGUUGUGGUUGGAGGGGAUCUAAAACUCCUUCACUUUCCAAGGCAACAACAGUUGGGAUAAUCAUUAGCAGAGACUCCUAAGGCCUCCUCCUACACUGAUGUUCUAGGGACUUCGAACUAUAUCUGCUACCUUAGAAUUGAAGCUGUGCAAAUGUCUCCUCUUCCUAGUAUAUGUCUGCCCACCCCCAGGAGGACAUACUGGAAUCAUCAAAUACAUACACUGGUGCCUGGAUCCCAAUACUAGAGGUUAUAAUUUGAUUUGAAGAUAUGGUCUGGGCUUUGGAAUCUUUAAAGGAUUCUAAUGUGCAGACAAGUUUUUGAGCCACUGCCUCAAAG
rnacentral:lncRNA from 10 species